rnacentral:rRNA from 1 species
AUUGAACGCUGGCGGCAGGCCUAACACAUGCAAGUCGAGCGGAGCGGCGGACGGGUGAGUAAUGCCUAGGAAUCUGCCUGGUAGUGGGGGAUAACGUCCGGAAACGGGCGCUAAUAUCGCAUACUAUCAGAUGCGCCUCGGUCGGAUUAGCUAUUGGGUGGGGUAAAGGCCUACCAAGGCGACGAGCCGUAACUGGUCUGAGAGGAUGAUCAGUCACAAUGGAACUGAGAAACGGCCCAGACGCCUACGGGAGGCAGCAGUGGGGAAUCUUCCGCAAUGGACGAAAGGCUGACGGAGCAACGCCGCGGGAGUGAGGACGGCCUUCGGGUUGUAAAGCGCUGUUAAUCGGGACGCGGUACCGGAAUAGAAAGCCACGGCUAACUACGUGCCAGCCGCCGCGGUAAUAC